GACGCCCAGCUGCCACUUUGGGAUCCUCCGCUGGCACCCUGCUCCUGACACUUCCCCCUGGGGCUCCCUGGCCUUGACCACCGGCGCCCCUUCUGGGAAUCCUCUGAUUCGCUGGAAAGACUCAUGGAAUCUCUUGAGUCAUUGUCAUCCUCUUCCUCGCUGGCUUGGAAUUCCUCCCCAUCGCUCUCCAUCUCCUGCCUACCCUGUGCCUCUCUCCCUGAACCCCUGACACAUGUGUUGCGAAUGAUUGCAUUUUUAAGAGAAAAACGCCCCUGAAAAAUUAGACAUUUGUACACCUCUCGCUUGAAAUGCUAGGAUAGCUGUCUGGAAAGGUCCCUAAUUCAAUCCCUGGCUUCUCCAGUUAAAAGGGGUCAGAUGAUCCAAAAGGCACCCUUUUUCUUGGAGAAACUGGAGAGCAUCUGCCAGCCAAGAAUGCAGUAGAAAAUAUUGGUCUAGGUGGACAAAUGUAAGAAAGCUUCCUGAAGCUGAAAUUCAGUACUAACUCCAUUUUGCUGUGAUUAUUAGAAAAGUCUUGAGUGAGAGGUAUUGGUGGACUCCUACCUAGAAACAAGAUCAAAGGCUAUUCCAAAUGGUUACGAGACUUCCAGACCACCCAGAAAAUUGGCA